UAGGAUUCAAUGUGGGCCAAAUCAUAAACAAAAUAAGAUUUCCUUUCAAGCACAAAAUUAGCAUACAAAGGAAUUGCUAUAACGAUUUUUUUUAAGAGGAGGAAUCAUUAUUAACGAUUCUGAUGCCAUCUAUACUGAAACAACAACUGCUAAAAAUUAUUUGUAGUACACAAUAUAUAUUAAUAAAGAGGAAAAAUAAGUACGAGAUCGAGGGCAGAACUCAAACGCAGAGAUCUUAAAGUCGGUUUUAAGAACUGAGUAAGGAGAAGCUUGACUAUAUGGAGGUGAAGAUUGGGGCGCUUGACAAUAUUGGAUUUAAAAGGUGAAGAGAGUGGUCCUUUUUCUAGAGAGGUUACGAUUUUGGAAUAAGACCCCGUUGAUCGAUAAGCGCUCCUGAAAAGCAAAGACUUGCAGAUAUUUCAAAGGUCUAGAUCGAAAUGGCUUAAGAAAGGUGAUGCUACCACUGACUAUUCUUGCGUUAAGAGGAGGGGUAAAAGAACAAUAUUUUGGCGCUAAGAGUCGGUAAUAGUUUGGUCGAAGCUGAGACCACCCUUAUUUUACAUAACUCUUGCACACUCGAACACAUUUGGCAGCAGACUUCCAUUAAUAUUAAUUCUAUAUAAGAAAGCAAAAACAAGCAGAUCCCAUAUAAGAAAAAAGCACAUUAAGAAAGCAAAAACAUGCAAAUUACAUAUAGAAAAACAAAAUAAGAAAGCAAAAAUAGAAAUUUAAAAAGCCAAAACAGAUUAAUAAAACAGGUUAAGAAAGAAAGAACAAGCAAAUAAGAGACAAUGAGAGCAAGAAGAAUCAAAGACGAGGAGAGCAGAUACAAAAUGUUUACGUGACUAAUUUCCAUGGAGAGGAGAAUCAGAGACAAGGAUGCAGAUGAAUGAUGAAGAUGAAGGGUAGCGAACAGUUUGGCACCGCCAGAGACGACGAAGGUAAAUGGUGGGGAGCAGGUUGCCGUCGUGUUGAAGAUGAAUGGAGCGGUGACUUAGGAUGUUUAGAGUUCAGACUUAGGAAACGGUUGAAAUUAGAUCCAUGUGGAGUUAAACAUUCGUGUUUCGGAAAAGGUAAACCAGUCACCAGUGUACCAUUUCAUU
rnacentral:lncRNA from 1 species